GACGAACCUUGCUAACGUUAUUCGGAAUUACUGGGCUUAAAAGGGUGCGUAGGCGGUGCAGAAAGUCGGGUGUGAAAUCCUCCAGCUCAACUGGAGAAUUGCGCCCGAAACUGCUGUGCUUGAGAAAGAUAGAGGUACGCGGAACUAGGGUGGAGCGGUGAAAUGCGUUGAUAUCCUAAGGAACACCGGUGGCGAAAGCGGCGUACUGGGUCUUUUCGUGACGCUGAGGCACGAAAGCCAGGGUAGCGAACGGGG
rnacentral:rRNA from 1 species